UCUUUGUGGCCUAUUAUGAUUACAACAGUGCAGGACCCAUAGGACAACCACCUUACAAAUGGGUGUUCUCUGACUGCCUUCAAACGGGACCACGCCCGCACUUUCAUUCACUUGCUACAGUGGUUCGCAAGGAGGAGGCGGGCGAUUGCUUGGAAGACUCACUGCCCGCCCAGGUCCUCAGCUCUGCAGUUGAGGUGUCAGGUUUCAAUCCUCCCAGGGCCACUGGACGUCGCGGCGUGCCCGGUGCGGCGGCCGCCUCCGCCUCCAAGCCUAGACUUAGGCAGCGAGCGAAGGCUCACUUCAGACGCGCGGCCGCGCACUCGGCCUGCCGCAGACCGAGGCUGGGCUCCGCGGCGGAGGCUGCUUCGGGGCUGCGCUGGCUGCGCGCUCUGGGCGGCGGCGAUCGCGGCUGGGCCGGGACUUACUUCCUCUACCGCAGGACAACAAAACAAGCCGGCUGCAGGCACCGGGCUCUUGGCAACGGUCUGGGCCGUAGGCGCAGCGAUGGGCUCCGUGCUGAGCAGCGAUAGCGGAAAAUCCGCGCCCGCCUCGGCCACCCCGCGGGCCCUGGAGCGCAGGGGGGACCCCGAGCUGCCCGUUACGUCCUUCGACUGCUCCGUCUGCCUCGAGGUGUUGCACCACCCCGUCCGGACCCGCUGUGGCCACGUAUUCUGCCGUUCUUGCAUUGCUACCAGUCUCAAGAACAAUAAGUGGACCUGUCCUUACUGCCGGGCAUAUCUUCCUUCUGAAGGAGUUCCAGCAACUGAUGUAGCCAAGAAAAUGAAAUCCAAGUUCCAGAAGUGCACUGAGUGUGACACCCUGGUUUGCCUCAGUGAAAUGAGGGCACACAUAAGAACAUGUCAGAAGUACAUAGAUAAGUAUGGACCACUACAAGAACUUGGAGAGACAGCAACAAGGGAGCUUGUCCAGAAUACAACUCUUGGGGAACAGGAAGUUAUAUCUACAAUGGAAAGUGUGUAUGUCCAUUUUGUCAGAAGGAAUUGGAUGAAGACAGCUUGCUGGAUCAUUGCAUUACUCAUCACAGAUCAGAAAGGAGACCUGUGUUCUGUCCACUUUGCCGUUUAGUACCUAAUGAGAAUCCAGGCAGCUUCAAUGGCAGCUUAAUAAGACAUUUGCAAGUCAGUCACACUUUGUUUUAUGAUGAUUUCAUAGAUUUUAAUAUAAUUGAGGAAGCUCUUAUUCAAAGGGUUUUAGACCGGUCACUUCUGGAAUAUGUGAAUCACUCGAACACCACAUAAUUGUAUUAAAAGAAAAGGGAAGGAGAUCGUACAAUUGCACCAUUUUUUUCAAGAUGCUGCUUGAAGAAUUGGAGGGAAACUGUCAAUGUUUGAUGGGCAAAAAAGUGUACAACACAGUUAUAUGUUUGUCCAUGUUUAUUGUUAUACUGCAUUUUAAAACUGCUUUCAUUUUGGUGGUUUAGGUCUGUUUUACAUUCUUGAGUUUCUCAGACACUUAACAGCAAAAAAAGUCUCCAUCAGCCAUUAAUAUAUGGAAGAGAACAUAAGGCUGAGUAUGUGGGUGAAGGAUCUAUAUUUGCAAAUUGAAUGACAUUGUGUGUAAUGCUACAUAUUGAUAACUUCCCUCAUGGUUGGUCAAAUAACUAAUCUUUGUUCUAUGGUGAGUGAAACAAAGUGUGGUCAUUCAAGGAAAUGUGAAAUCUCUUCUAGAGUUCACGUUCUAACCGCUAAUAGAAUAAAAGGAAUAACCUUGUAUGGAGUAGGAAAGGAAAAUUUUGGCAGUUGACAACAUCCAUUUAACCAAAUUGUAUAACAUAAUACUGUAAUAAAAUAAAUUUCGUGUUAGGAAUGUAUACUUAAUGCUUUGAUUUUUUAUAACUAUGCACACAUAAGAAUUUAAUUUUAUAUUUUUCAAAUAUUUGUAGCUUAUUAUUUAGAAAUAUUUCUAUAAUACAGGCAACUUCUUAAGAACCGUCAGCUGAUAUUUACAGUAGAAGUAUUCACAUCCAUAAUUUUUAGUGGAAAAUCCUAAGGGCUUUGAUUUUUUUUAAUUUUAUCUUUUAGGAAAAUUAUAAAAUAAACAGAAAUACUGAAAACCAAACAGAAAAUAUAUAGCUUAUUACAUUCUCAUAAGGAAACAUUCUUUUAGAACUCUGCCAGUCACCUUCGAUGUCUUCUAUGUGUCCUGUCACAGUUAACAAACCUCUUCCCACAAAAGUAAACACUACAUUGAUUUUAAUAGUACUCACUUCCUUGCGUUUCUUUCUUAGUUUAUCCCCCAAGUGUGUGUCUCUACACACUAGCUUUUAAUCUUUCUGGGUUUCUCCUUCUUUCUUUUCCUUAAAAUUUACCUACAGAAGAACCUGGUUUUAUAAAUUUCCCACUGUCUAUAUUUUGUUAAUUGCAUACUCAUGGCACAAUUCAGCAUGUUCUUCUAGCCUCUGGAUAUUGACACAUGGAUCCAGAGAUCGGAGCAGACUCAGGUUCAACCUUUUGGCCAGACCAUAGAUCAUGGUGUAUUCUUUCAACAGAGGGCGCAGAAUGUCUGGUUCCCUCUUUUGUGAUGUCAGCUGAAAUGGAUACUCAAUGCCUAGAUCCAUUGAUUUGUUGUGGGUUGGAGAAUAUUCUAUCAUUUCUUUUUCAUUUAUUAGUUGGAACAUUUUUAUAAAGAGGUGUUUCCCCAUAUCUACUAUUUGGUUAACCAGUGGUCAAGUUCAUAUAGGAAAGGGAAAAUAAACUUGAAUUUUCCCCUUUAUUUACCAAAUUUCAAGAUAAUAAACUUGUUUUCUAUCAUCCUCUGUAGAUCACUUUUUUUAAGUGUUGUGAACUCAUGGAUUCAAACAUAUUUGAUAGGCUUUAAUCCAUUUCACAUAUUGCCUUAUUAAAGCCCAAAUUGUCCUAUCUUUGGUCAUUGGGAGCCUUAUCAAGUUGACCCUGAGUCCUUUUGACACUACUCUAGCAGUCUUUACUGGCUUCCUUGUAGUCUCGUAUGACAGACUAUUCCAGGCUCAACUUGGAUGUUUCCUGCCCCAGACCUGGUAUCAGCCAUUUCUCUUAAUGAGCCUGGUUACUUUCAGUGAGAAAUAGUGCUUCAGAACUGUAAUUGUGACUGUUAAGUUCACUGUGGCUAUAUUGGUCUUUGUUUCUAGGAGAGAGCUAGGAAAUAUCCUUUUUUUUAAGAUAAAACACUUAUUCAUGAGUUUCUUUUGAUACUUGCAAAUCAAAUUAAGUACUACAGGGUUUUUGCCUAAUCUUUUCUAUUACAUUUGUGUCUUUUGUUUUUCUCUACUGAGAAUCCUGGUCAAGGACACAGGAAUAUCCCACAAUUAUUCGUUUCCUUCAUCUACUUUAUGCAUGCAACAGUCUCAGAAUAAUAAUACUAAUAAACCAUCACCAAUAUGAUAGCUGGUACAAUUAAAAAUGUUUUUCAUUUGUUCUCCCUAAUCUCCUAUUUUUUAAAGUUGUACUAUAUCAACAUUUUCAAGGAAUUCCCUGGCGGUCCAGUGGUUAGGACUCUGUGUUCUCACUGCCCAGGGCCCGGGUCUGACCCCUGAACGGGGAGAACUAAGAUCCUGCAAGCCGCAUGGCGUGGCCAGAACAAAAAAAAAAAACGUUUUUUUUGUUUUGUUUUGUUUUUUUGCGGUACACAGGCCUCUCACCGUUGUGGCCUCUCCCGUUGCAGAGCACAGGCUCCAGAUGUGCAGGCUCAGCGGCCAUGGCUCAUGGGCCCAGCUGCUCCGCGGCACGUGGGAACUUCCCGGACCGGGACACGAACCCGUGUCCCCUGCAUCGGCAGGCGGACUCUCAACCACUGCGCCACCAGGGAAGACCAAAAAAAAAACGUUUUUUGAGAACCUAUUGGUGUAACAUACAAUACUCUCUUCUAUCCCCCAUUUAGCUUAGUUCUUCAAGUACCUGUAUGUUUAGUGCUUGCUACAACUCCUUAUUUGAUGGCUCUGUUUUUCAUAUUUGGCUCUCUAAUGACAAAUCCAGGACAUAGAGUAAUAUUUCCAUCUUGAAGUCAAGGAAAUAAGCUACGAAGAUGCGUGAUUUCAGCUCCUGAGGAUAAAGUGUUACUUGGUUGUGGUUAGCUUCUUAACUGUAAUCGUCUAUAAACAUCUUUGUUCCUUACGCGUAAAUGUAGUCAUAGCCAUGUUCCCCAAAAUUUUCUAUAGUAAAUUAUCCAUUACUUCUUAAAAGCCUUGCUUACCAUUCUGCCAUCCACCGCAAGGUAAUUAGAAAAACGUAAAGCCGGGUGAAACCUAGAGGGCCAUAGUUCUUCCCUUUUAGAUACUAGUUUCAAGCUUGCUUUUCACAGCUGCUAACAAGUAACAACAGAUUUUUAGUUUCACCACCUCUCUUCCUACAGUUUGGAUGGCUCAACCAGUAAAGCAAAACCUAUUGGACAACAAGGGCAAAAGGAGAGGAACUUUUAAGAGGUAAUCAUUAGAUUGAAAAUAUAGUCCCGGAAGAAUAAAAGAAUAUAUUUCUGAGUAUUAGUACUCACUAUCCAGAAAAUAAAUUUUUGUUAAUUCCAAGCAAUACAAAAGGCAUCUUUAAAUCUGUAAAACUUGAAAAAAACUUCAAAACUGUAUUUUGAGUAAAGCUUUAAGUCACCUGCCACUGUUAAACCUCAGUGCAGCAAUUCUACAUCCUGUCCCUGGAUAUCCCUUAUGAUAAUUUUGCCCCCUAUGGGACAAACCAGGUGCUGGCCACCUGAAUUAUUUUGCCUUUUGAAUUAUUUUGAGUUCUAAAAUAGUGAAGUGCAACUAUUAUUCAUUGUUUCACUGUGCCUUUAACCUUUUAUUAAAAGGAAUUUAUAAUUCAUUGUUUUAAAAAACGAAAACCAAUAUUUGAAGCUGUUGACUAAGCAAAAAAUUUCACUCCUUUUUUUUAAUAGCACCUCAAGGUGCCAAUUUUUUAAGGCCUUAUGAGGGAAAAACUGAUUGACAUAUUAUUCUUUAAAAACUAAAUUCUUCUAAUCCUACAAAAACCUAUGGAGAUUUUCCUUUUACUUUUUUUUUUUUUUUUUUUUUUGGCGCGGUACGCGGGCCUCUCACUGUUGUGGCCUCUCCUGUUGCAGAGCACAGGCUCUGGAUGCGCAGGCUCAGCGGCCAUGGCUCAUGGGACCAGCCGCUCCGCGGCAUGUGGGAUCUUCCCGGACCGGGGCACGAACCCGUGUCCCCUGCAUCGGCAGGCGGACUCUUGACCACUGCGCCACCAGGGAAGCCCUCCUUUUACAUAAUUUUUUCACCCAAGUUUCUAAAACGUAUAUUUAGAAAUUGGAUUGGGAAUCUACGGUGAAGAUAGUUCCAGGUCAGAUCUAAAAGAUCCUGGCUCUAAUGAUGUUACUUUAUUACUUUUACUGGGUGCUAAGUGUCCUUUGUUUUCAAGCGAGCUUACAACAGUUACUGAACACAUUUAACAUAUAAUUAGUACCUUCAAGUAACAUUGAAAUUAUUUUAAAAAGUCACUAAGAGAUUCAUCCUUUUAUUAUUCAACUGCAAAAAAUAAAUCUGUAUAAUGAUCAGAAAUUAAAAUGUACAAUUCCUUUUCUUCUGUAAAUAUGUGUUAUUGUGAGAAAUAAAGAAUGGCAGGACCAUUGCUUUCAUUAAAA